rnacentral:lncRNA from 1 species
UGCACACUGCAGCUAAAGAGCGGUUCUCCUUGCUUUAAGCUCCACAGAAAAGAUUACUGUUUUAACAUUUAAAAAACAACAACAAAUAUGAUUACUGCAUCAUCUCUCCCAGCUUUCAAGUCAAAGGAAUUGUCUGCUUGUGGAUUAUGCUGUCCUCGAGAGCAUGGAUGACCGAUGAUUUCUACAGAAUUCAGAUUGAAUCAUGAAGCAUCAACCAGCACGAGUGACUUUAUCUGAACUGUGGAUCAGUUGGAUUAUCAAGUGGAACAUCAUCUACAACAUCUGGGAGAUUUUUGGUGGCUUGAGUUCCUCAAUGCUGCACCAGGGGGACCAGCAGCGCCACGGGGACCCAUUGGACCCUACAGAAUGAAAGAAAGUCUAGGUUAGGAAAAAACAUCAGUGUCCAUGUGAGUGUAUUUAUGUGUGUCACUGUGUGGCGGCAUGAGUGAGUCACACUUUGGCAGUUCUGAAUUAUCCAGAUGAAAUAAAGUGAAAAUCUUGCCAGGUCAGAAAGAAAGCUCUGUUGAGACACAGACUGCAUGUCCAUGCAUCCAUACAGUAGAAAAGCAGUCUAGAUGGCUAAGGUCAAGUUACAUGAACUUUGUUUACCUUUGACCUCAUUUGACCCAAAUGACUCAAACUCGGGCACAUAUGCAAGUAGGUAAAGGUUCUAUCAAUAUAGGUGAAUGUAAACAGGUAGAGCAAUCUCAGAUUUCAUGGUCAGUUCAUUGUUUAAGGAAUUUUCUAACUGUUUAUGUAAUGAACAGAAUGAAGCAGGGUUGAUGAGUUUGCAGAUAACUAAUUUAGAUACUCACAGGAGCACCAGCCUCACCAGGCUCGCCAGGGGGACCAGUAAAUCCUUGGGGUCCCUGUAAAGGUGGACAAAGUGCACAAAUUAAAGCAGGAAUCACAGUGCUAGUACAUGCUAAACAAUGGAAGUAGCUGUGUUAGAUUUCCUGAGUGAAUCUUAAUAUGAAGAGAUCAUUCAGAUGUCCCCAAAAUAUGUUGAUUUCAAUUUGUAUAUGAUAUAUUCAUUUUUGAAAGAUGCAUAAGGCAAAUUUCAGUCUCCAAAAUAAUACUUAAUACCCCAAAUUAAUUUAAUUAUGAAUUACACUAUGGAGCACUUUACAUUUUAAAAAUGUUUUCAAGAACUG